UACAGAGGGUGCAAGCGUUGUUCGGAAUUAUUGGGCGUAAAGGGCGCGUAGGCGGUGCGGUAAGUCUGUAGUGAAAUCUCUGGGCUCAACUCAGAGUCUGCUGCAGAAACUGCCGUGCUUGAGUGUGGGAGAGGUGAGUGGAAUUCCCGGUGUAGCGGUAAAAUGCGUAGAUAUCGGGAGGAACACCUGUGGCGAAAGCGGCUCACUGGACCAUAACUGACGCUGAGGCGCGAAAGCUAGGGGAGCAAACAGG
rnacentral:rRNA from 1 species